CACAGAAUCUGAAACAGGCUCCAGGCUCUGAGCGGUCAGCACAGAGCCCGACGCGGGGCUCGAAGUCACAGACUGUCAGAUCAUGACCUGAGCCGAAGUCGGAUGCUUAACCGAUCAAGCCACCCAGGCGCCCCUGCAGCUUGACUUUUAAAAAGCAGCCUGUGUUUGUACGUGUGUGUAUAAUGAGAAAGAGGAAGCGUGUUACCUAAUGACAUACAUUGCAAAAACAGGGGGAAGCUGCCGGCUGGGUGGAGACUUCAGAGCGGUUGUUCGGCUUACCCAGAACUCUUCUAGUGAAAACAAACCAGACCAAACCACUUCACCGUGGUUGUCACCGCUGCUAGCUUUCAAUGUGUACCACUCGCCACAGGGCCAUUGGAAACUCAGAAGCAGAAGGCCACUGCCUGCUGUGACCGUCCUGCAGCAGAAGGGUCCAUGGAGCACGGUGAUGUCCCACACAAGUCUCAAACCAGAGCAACACAGAAGAGAAACAAACAAAUGGGAGACGGAGAGACACAGAGAGAGAAAAAGAGAGAGGGAGGAAGAGAGAGACAGAGAGAGGGAGUUGUUUGGAAAAAAACUCUGCUUUGAGCCACGUCUGCAGAGCCAGGACUCCACCAGGCACGUAUUUAUUUUAAACACUGUUAUUUGGUUUACGUUUUCUUGUGGUUCCGACAAUGAUAUUGCACGCUUCUUCAAAGCCGGGAGAGCGCUGUGGAAGCACUUUAGGCAAGAGGAUUCCAACCCUUGACCCUUAAUGGCCUCCUCCGGGCAACCCCACUAUGAUUCACAAAGGUGUCUUUAGCCGGCUUUCAAUUCCAGUUGUCCUACAGGUUCCAGGUUGAGUUGCCCAAAUUAAUGGGUGGGGCCGACCCUUCAGACAACCAUCCAUCAGCCGUCAGGGAGGAGCCUCCGGGUUCUAAGCCCCGCCCCCUCUCGCCUCUCACCUGCAGGUCUCAAACCCGAUGCUCAGGGCUGCCUCCAUCUCGGUCAUGGUGGGCAGGGUGCUGUUGAAAGCCUUGCAGAGGUCAGCAGCCUCCGUCUUCGAGAUGCUGUAGCGACCGUUUUUCUCCACGUGGAACACACCCGCGUAUCGGCAGGUUAUAUUCAAA